GACGAACGCUGGCGGCGUACUUAACACAUGCAAGUCGAACGGAAAGGCCCUGCUUUUGUGGGGUGCUCGAGUGGCGAACGGGUGAGUAACACGUGAGUAACCUGCCCUUGACUUUGGGAUAACUUCAGGAAACUGGGGCUAAUACCGGAUAGGAGCUCCUGCUGCAUGGUGGGGGUUGGAAAGUUUCGGCGGUUGGGGAUGGACUCGCGGCUUAUCAGCUUGUUGGUGGGGUAGUGGCUUACCAAGGCUUUGACGGGUAGCCGGCCUGAGAGGGUGACCGGCCACAUUGGGACUGAGAUACGGCCCAGACUCCUACGGGAGGCAGCAGUGGGGAAUAUUGCACAAUGGGCGGAAGCCUGAUGCAGCAACGCCGCGUGCGGGAUGACGGCCUUCGGGUUGUAAACCGCUUUCGCCUGCGACGAAGCGUGAGUGACGGUAAUGGGUAAAGAAGCACCGGCUAACUACGUG
rnacentral:rRNA from 1 species